rnacentral:rRNA from 1 species
UAACACUUAGAAAUAGGUGCUAAUACCGCAUAACAACAGAAAGCGCAUGCUUUUUGUUUGAAAACCAAGGUGGUAUGGGAUGGACCCGCGUCUGAUUAGCUGGUUGGCGGGGUAAAGGCCCACCAAGGCGACGAUCAGUAGCCGGCCUGAGAGGGUGGACGGCCACAUUGGGACUGAGACACGGCCCAAACUCCUACGGGAGGCAGCAGUGGGGAAUAUUGCACAAUGGGGGAAACCCUGAUGCAGCGACGCCGCGUGAGUGAAGAAGUAAUUCGUUAUGUAAAGCUCUAUCAGCAGGGAAGAAAAUGACGGUACCUGAGUAAGAAGCCCCGGCUAACUACGUGCCAGCAGCCGCGGUAAUACGUAGGGGGCAAGCGUUAUCCGGAUUUACUGGGUGUAAAGGGAGCGUAGACGGCAGUGCAAGUCUGGAGUGAAAGGCGGGGGCUCAACCCCCGGACUGCUCUGGAAACUGUACGGCUGGAGUGCAGGAGAGGUAAGUGGAAUUCCUAGUGUAGCGGUGAAAUGCGUAGAUAUUAGGAGGAACACCAGUGGCGAAGGCGGCUUACUGGACUGUAACUGACGUUGAGGCUCGAAAGCGUGGGGAGCAACAGGAUUAGAUACCCUGGUAGUCCACGCCGUAAACGAUGAUCACUAAGUG